AGGCGCCUGAAAAGGACAAAUGGAAAAUCGGCAUUAAUCCGAGCAGGAAAAAAUAAUAAAGCAGAACAAAUCUGUAGCCAAGUCCUUUUUGUUGACAGGAAUAGAGCAGAAGUAAAAAGCCUGAUUUUCUUAUUUAGACAAGAACAUUUUAUUAACUGAAAUACUGAGGAACCACCCGUUUGUUAAAAGACAGCAAUGCUGAGACACUGUAUUGGAUGGUCUCUGACAGCUGUAGUCUGUUUUGAUGAAAUACAAGGAAUACAAGCAGAGCCCAUGACAAUUUUUUAACUUUUUGUGUCUACAAAAAUGAAAUUUUGAUUAGCGUAUGCCAACAAAAAAGUAACAGAAGAGGGACAAAGAAAAAAGAGGCAUGAAAAAAGAAGUGAUAUUGAUCCUGUUUCAUAAGGGAGGCAUGUUCCAACCUAGCCAUCACAAGUAACAUACCACUUGAUGGCCCAAAAUCCUGAGAGCAAAUCAAACUCCCCUUCCCUCCAUUUGUAAUUUGUAAUGAUCCUGCCAGUCUGAUGCACUGGCUCAGGCUGAACGUAUUCAUAGGAGCACACCAUAUGGGCCACGGAGGUUUUGUAAGACAAACAUGUUAACCAGGGUUUGGAGUUCACUGCUUUAGAAAACAAAUUGAGAAUAAUAAAAUAGAAUUUUCAUUUUCCAAUUCUGACACUGUGCUCUUAUGACAGGGUCUUCAUGGCUUUAGAAUUGUAACUCUGCAAAAUACCAAGAAGGUUGAGACUUUCCAAAAGGAUAAUAUCACAGGAGAAGCAAAGAGCAGAAUGAAUGAGCUGUUGCCCUCGUUACUGUGAUUCUUCUGAACUGCCUCUGCCUUUUCACACCUUCAUCACUUGGGUGACAACAGCUUCCCUCCCCAUACCUAGAACUUUUCACACAAGGACUCUCUUAAGCCAGACAAAAUCCAAGACUAAGGAACUUGCACCAUGUGAUCUCAGCAUGAGCAGCUGAAAUGAGUCCUACCUGUGAAAGUGUAUUAUUAGAUGAAUGUUCUGCUAUUACCCCUUUAACUCUUAGGUAAAUGCAAACUUAAACCAGUAUGAUGUCUGAAUCACUUCUCAGUUUUGGAUGCUUCUGUGCAUCCUACGCAGUGUAAUACUAUGGUAUACACAGUAUUAAGACCAUAGGCAAAAGUUUUACUGAAGUAAACAGUGUUGUGUUCACAGAACUUUUGUGGUUUUAAAGUUUCAGGAGACUUCUGUUUCUCAAGUGUCUGUUAAAGAGACAAUUGUCAAUGUAUGAUUUUAUGAAUAAAAAAAUAAUAAAAGAAAAA